rnacentral:rRNA from 1 species
GACGAACGCUGGCGGCGUGCUUAACACAUGCAAGUCGAACGGAAAGGCACUGCUUUCGUGGGGUGAUCGAGUGGCGAACGGGUGAGUAACACGUGAGUAACCUGAUCUAGACUUUGGGAUAACUUCAGGUAACUGGAGCUAAGCUCGGAUAGGAGCUCCUGUUGCAUGGUGGGGGUGGGAAAGUUUCUGCGGUUGGGGAUGGACGCGCGGCUUAUCAGCUUGUUGGUGGGGUAGGGGCUUACCAAGGGAUUGACGGGUAGCCGGCCUGGGAGGGUGACCGGCCACAUUGGGACUAAGGUACGGCCCAGAGUGCUACGGGAGGCAGCAGUGGGGAAUAUUACACAAUGGGCGGAAGCCUGAUGCGGCGACGCCGCGUGCGGGAUGACGGCCUUCGGGUUGUGAACCGCUUUCGCCUGUGACGAAGCGUUAGUGACGGUAAUGGGUGAAGAAGCACCGGCUAACUACGUG